rnacentral:rRNA from 1 species
GACGAACGCUGGCGGCGUGCUUAACACAUGCAAGUCGAACGGAAAGGCCCUGCUUUUGUGGGGUGCUCGAGUGGCGAACGGGUGAGUAACACGUGAGUAACCUGCCCUUGACUUUGGGAUAACUUCAGGAAACUGGGGCUAAUACCGGAUAGGAGCUCCUGCUGCAUGGUGGGGGUUGGAAAGUUUCGGCGGUUGGGGAUGGACUCGCGGCUUAUCAGCUGGUUGGUGGGGUAGUGGCUUACCAAGGCUUUGACGGGUAGCCGGCCUGAGAGGGUGACCGGCCACAUUGGGACUGAGAUACGGCCCAGACUCCUACGGGAGGCAGCAGUGGGGAAUAUUGCACAAUGGGCGGAAGCCUGAUGCAGCAACGCCGCGUGCGGGAUGACGGCCUUCGGGUGGUAAACCGCUUUCGCUGUGACGAAGCGUGAGUGACGGUAAUGGGUAAAGAAGCACCGGCUAACUACGUG